UAACGAAUCUUCCGCAAUGCACGAAAGUGUGACGGAGCGACGCCGCGUGGAGGAGAAGUUCUUCGGAAUGUAAACUCCUGUCAUGAGAAAGAAAGUUCUGAUCUACUCAAGAGGAAGGGACGGCUAACUCUGUGCCAGCAGCCGCGGUAAGACAGAGGUCCCGAGCGUUAGGCGGAAUCACUGGGCUUAAAGCGUGUGUAGGCGGAUCUGUAAGUACCUUGUGAAAUCCCACGGCUCAACCGUGGAACUGCUUGGUAUACUGCGGAUCUUGAGGUACUUAGGGGCAACUGGAACAAAUGGUGGAGCGGUGAAAUGCGUAGAUAUCAUUUGGAACGCCAAUGGUGAAAACAAGUUGCUGGGAGUAUUCUGACGCUGAGACACGAAAGCCAGGGGAGCAAACGGGAUUAGAUACCCCUGUAGUCC
rnacentral:rRNA from 1 species